GGGCGUAAAGAGCUCGUAGGUGGUUUGUCGCGUUGUUCGUGAAAACUCACAGCUUAACUGUGGGCGUGCGGGCGAUACGGGCAGACUAGAGUACUGCAGGGGAGACUGGAAUUCCUGGUGUAGCGGUGGAAUGCGCAGAUAUCAGGAGGAACACCGGUGGCGAAGGCGGGUCUCUGGGCAGUAACUGACGCUGAGGAGCGAAAGCGUGGGGAGCGAACAGGAUUAGAUACCCUGGUAGUCCACGCCGUACACGGUGGGUACUAGGUGUGGGUUCCUUCCUUGGGAUCCGUGCCGUAGCUAACGCAUUAAGUACCCCGCCUGGGGAGUACGGCCGCAAGGCUAAAGACUCAAAGGAAUUGACGGGGGCCCGCACAAGCGGCGGAGCAUGUGGAUUAAUUCGAUGCAACGCGAAGGACCUUACCUGGGUUUGACAUGCACAGGACGCUGGUAGAGAUAUCAGUUCCCUUGUGGCCUGUGUGCAGGUGGUGCAUGGCUGUCGUCAACUCGUGUCGUGAGAUGUUGGGUUAAGUCCCGCAACGAGCGCAACCCCUAUCUUAUGUUGCCAGCGCGUUAUGGCGGGGACUCGUAAGAGACUGCCGGGGUCAACUCGGAGGAAGGUGGGGAUGACGUCAAGUCAUCAUGCCCCUUAUGUCCAGGGCUUCACACAUGCUACAAUGGCCGGUACAAAGGGCUGCGAAUCCGCGAGGUGGAGCGAAUCCCUUGAAAGCCGGUCUCAGUUCGGAUCGGGGUCUGCAACUCGACCCCGUGAAGUUGGAGUCGCUAGUA
rnacentral:rRNA from 1 species